rnacentral:lncRNA from 1 species
UAAAUGGGUCUCAAACGACCGAGCUGAUCCAACAACCCUCAUAUCCAGUCCAAAUAUGGGGUGGAUAUGGGGGAGCCCGCGCGAUACCGGGCACGCCCGUGUGGCAGGUCUAGCCCACCAUCGACCCCACCGCCAUGUCAGUUUGGCCCACCGCGGACCCACUAAAUAUCUUAAUCUGAAAGCCCUAGACAUCCGGUAGUUCACUCUCCGUCCACUUCACUUCCAAUCCUCCAUCCUCCGACCCGAUGGCCGGCGACGGAAGCAGCUCGGACGGAUCGAACGUCAAUGUGGAGGAGGUAGCCCUCCGCAUCGCGUUGCGUCGAUCGCUGUAGGACCAAGGCGGCUCCUGCGACGAUGGAUCGGCAUCCUUCGGGCCUGUCGCACGCCGACGGAGCACAUACGGCGGUGGAUUCUGCAUCCUCCGGGCCUGUCGCACGCCGACGAAGCACCGACGAUGUCACAUGCCCUUCCCGUGAGGCACGCGGCUCCGCUAACUCCCGCUACGGCCGGUCCGCUCUAGGUCAGGUACGCCACCCACCACCACCUUCUGUUGUUGCCAGCUGCAGUGGGCGAGGAAGAGGGGGAAGGCAUGGUCAUGCGGCGUUGGACCUUGAGCGCUUCGGUCGACCCCGAGGACGCGCUCCUCACGGGCGUCCUGCGUCGCUCACUGACGACGUGAAGUCAGAUGCACGCCGCCUGUGCCGCAAGAAUGCCGACGCGCUUUGACUGGCCGUCUAGUUAUCGGAGCGCGAGGUAGCGAAAGAAGCGGCGGCGAAGGCGAAAGUGGCCCGCCACGCCAAGGAGCAGGUCCGCCUACUACGCAGGCUGUCUGGCAUGCGCAGCAACUCUGACGACGAUGACAACAACGACAAGGACGCCUCCACAUCCGGCUCCGAUGACGACGACGAUGCUCCACCGCACGCCGACACCUACAUGAAGGAUGGACACAGUUGCGUGGACGACCGGAAGGGGGAGGGGGCCGGCAAGGAAAUGGUGAUUUCCUCCGCCGCCCUUCCCCGUGUUGUUCAUAUUUUAAUUAUGCUUAAGUUGUUUCUAGUAUGAAUUUGCUGAUGAAUUCCGAUGAACUAUGAUCCUUUUGUUCAACGAAGCAAUCCGAUCGAAUGAAAGAUGUUGAUCUCUUGUUUUGCGUAGUGUUGCAUGCGUUCGUAUGGAUAUGAGGGUUCGGAUAUGAGGGAUACAGGUGUAAAAGGUAAAAAAUAAGGCACACCUGAACAGUGUCCGCGAACGCGCCCGGAUGCGUCCCCACGCAUUUGGAGGACCGUAUUUGCCAUAAGUGGGUAUAGAUGCUCAUGGAUUAAGUUUUGGGAGGGGUCGUUUCUUUUGCUGACCCUCGUGAUCGAAUCUAGAAAAAAAAUACAAGGGCAGGAAUUUGAAAACAAUCUACUAAAUAUAAAGAAUCUUUAAACCAAUCACAUCACGGGAUAACAGUAAAUACAAACACAAUACAGGGAGAACUACUAGCUACUAGCGUAGGCAAGAACCCCAAACAAAUUAAUCCCCCAAACCAAAUUAACCAAAGAAUAUAUCGUGCCUACCAGAUCAAUCGAUCUAUCAGUCUAAGUGGAACUUGGAUCUCCGAUCAGGAAAAAAGAACGAGACACCUUUCAGUUUCUUUGUUAUCCUCCUAUGUCCCAUAGCUAGCACAUAUAUUAGAUGGUGAGAAGAAAUGUAAGCUUAUAGCUCCAGGAUUAUCACACUCAACCUACGCAUGCAGUUUUCUUUCCAAACAAGUUCUGAAAGCGCAUAUAUAUAGUAAAGGCCCGGGGGAGUACUUCAUGUGUAUUCUUUUGGUUGUCAUUCAAGGAUUGUGAACACAAGCUACACUAAAAUGAUGUGAAAUGUUAUGAGUGUUUGGUGUUAGUUUUACCGAAUGAGAAAUGCAUGAUGAAACACAUGAAGUCAUUGACAUUCUAAUAAAAAAUUUAAUUGUCACUAACUUGAUAUAACGCCUUUGAUACCGAUAGUGUCUAAGAUUCUACUUUAAACUUGGACCCAGAAGACGACUGCACACUCUGCCACCACCCCGGAGGGUGGGGAUGUCAUCAGAAUAUGUGGAGUUUCAAUCAGUCGGUGACACAAAGGUUUGUGUUGCUGAACAGUGCGGCUAAGGGGAAAAUCACCCUCCGUAAGGCAUGUGGUAGAGGAUGUGUUUGUGGAGGCUGAGGAUGCAUGAGCGUGCAUUGGCCGGCAGGCGCCAUCACGGAUGGGAUUGCAUUGCUUCUUUAUUCACCUUGCACAAGUCACAAAAAAAAUGUGUAAAUUUCGUCUUUGAAGUUGGCUACUUCGGCAUGAGGGCAAAGUUGGCUGCCGCUUUUGGCUCGACACCUACCCCACCGUCCAUGAGGCCGGACAUGCAUAUGAUGUGGCGGUGUGGUGUGCCGGGAGGCCGAGGAUGGAUGUCAACUCCCUGGAGAUCGAGACCUAGGUGGAUGUAGAGUUGCUCGUGCGGCGCCGGGAGGCAUUUGCAUGGAGGAGAUCACGACAAAGAAAAGAAAGAAGAGGCCCGCCAUUGUCGUUAGUCUCGGCGAAUAUGAUGAGGCGGCAAUGGUGUAGUUCAUGAGGGAGUCCAGGAAUAAGGGGUCCUUGGACCGCUUACCUAUUUCUAUGGGCCGAACUCCUUGAUCGUCCUAUUGUCAUUAUUGGACUCCGAAGAAAUAAAGUGAUGUUGUAUUCAAGAUGGAUUCUUCCGGAGACUUGGUGUGCACCCUACGACCACAUGGUAAUCAACAUGUUUCCUUCCUGAUGUAACCGACAUUGUGUAACCCUAGCACCCCUGGUAUCUAUGUAAACCAGAUGGCUUUAGUUCAUAGGAAAAGUUAAAAUCAUUACUCCUAGGGUUUAGACCACAACAUAAGAUUUCGAGGUAGAUCAACACUGUACUUGGUACUCCAUCAUCAAUAUAAAGAAGAGCAGCACAUACAUCUUUACCUCCAUGAAUAGGGCCCGAACCUGGAUAAAUACCGUCUCCUUUGUCUCCUGUUACCCAUCGAUCCAAG